rnacentral:misc_RNA from 1 species
GUGAAUCAUCAAAUCUUUGAACGCAAAUUGCACUCUCCUCGGAGAGUAUUCCUUUUUUAGGGUCAGCCUAUAAAAAAUCGACAUCGUUGCUGUUUCGCGGUGGCGUUCGUCGGAAAUUGGAACAUCUUAAAUCCUUUUGCUUUUAUCGACUUAAAAUUUUCUUUUGGUUACAUGAACUUUUCUAAUAUCUAUUUCUUUACACUUUUAAGUUAUCGAUUUUUACUAGACGUGACCAUCAUAUCUGAUCCCUUCCAUAAUCUUUCAUUAACUGACCUCAGACAGGUAAGAGUACCCGC